CCCUUAGAUGUUCUGGGCUGCACGCGCGCUACACUGAUGCGUUCAUCAAGUUUUUGACCUUGCCUGGAAAGGUUGGGUAACCUCUUGAAAUUGCAUCGUGAUGGGGAUAGAUUAUUGUAAUUAUUAAUCUUCAACGAGGAAUUCCUAGUAAGCGUGAGUCAUCAGCUCGCGCUGAUUACGUCCCUGCCCUUUGUACACACCGCCCGUCGCUCCUACCGAUUGAGUACUCCUGUGAAUUGUUCGGACUGCAGCAGUCGCCAGUUCCUGGGGAUUGCAGCGGAAAGUUCUAUAAAUAGUAGCACUUAGAGGAAGGAGAAGUCGUAACA
rnacentral:rRNA from 1 species